rnacentral:lncRNA from 1 species
UCUUCAGUGUUUAACGUUUCAAAUUGAUCAGUAAAUAAACUCGGAAAGAGGUUAGGUUCAGUAGUUACAGCACGUUCUCUAUUAUUUUUGCAUUGGGUAUUUGGGUUCACUAUAAUUGAAAAUUAUUGGAAGGACCUACAAGGUGCGUUGUAUGGUGUACCAGAUUCUUGACAGAACCUUUUAGCUAGUCAAAAGCUAAACAAAGAUCUUUCUAAUCAUGAAGCCGCCCUUUAUGAUAUGAAAGGAGAGGAAGCGAAGUCGCCUAAUAAGAAAAAUAGAUUUUGAAGACGCCCACUGCAAUGUCAGGCAAGAAUACGUUCCUUCAACUAAUGAUUCGAAGCAUUUUAUUUUGUGUAUGCUUUUUUAUUGAUUUCAAGCGCAGACUCAUGAAGGAGAGUCACUUCAUUGGAUCACAAAAUUUAUCACUUUAUCAGCACUUUUUAAUUGGAGCAACCUCUCUUCUUCCUCCACUUCUCACCACUUGUGCUUUGUUUUUUAAUUUGGAAAAAUAUGACCAUUGAUAGUGGACGCCAGCAGAGAUGGCUCAAGCUAUAUGGACUAUGGUGACCCGCAGGCUUGUGCAGUUAUGCAUCGGCUGAAAAGUAAAAAUGCUAAUUCAAUUCAUUUGUGCUAAACAUUUGCUUCCAAGGGAGAUUUUUAGCUGGGUAAAUUUCGGAUUAUCUUCUUAGGAAUUAAUUACUUUUAAAUUAUUCCUUUAUUUUUGAAAACUUUAAAUUAGUCCCAAAAUCUAUUAAAUUUAAUUGUUGGCUGACUAAUUAAAAUACAAUAAUACCCCUUCUAUUGAAUAUGUUAACUUAGUUUGUUACAUAUAUUAUUAGAGACAUAUAUCCUUGUUUUUCCAGUGCAAUAUAAAGAAAAAAAUAGCAUAUAUCAUCCAUUUUUUCUAAACUAACAGAUUGAUAACUAUGUUUAGGGAUAACUUGAGAUUUUAACAAAUGUGGAGGUAAUUUAAAGAUAAUCAAUUCAUGAAGAAUAUAAUCUAAAUUUUACCCUUUUCAGAUUAACGAGCAAGCAAGAAUGCAGAAUUUUUCUGUAUAUCGUACAGAUGGAAUUUACACCGAGUGAGUGGAAAAGAUUUGCGGUCCUUUUAUAU